rnacentral:rRNA from 1 species
AAUAGAUACCCAGGUAGUCCACGCCGUAAACGGUGGGUGCUAGGUGUGGGAGACUAUCUACGUUUUCCGCGCCGCAGCUAACGCAUUAAGCACCCCGCCUGGGGAGUACGGCCGCAAGGCUAAAACUCAAAGGAAUUGACGGGGGCCCGCACAAGCGGCGGAGCAUGCGGCUUAAUUCGAUGCAACGCGAAGAACCUUACCUAGGCUUGACAUAUACGGGAAGCAGGCAGAGAUGUCUGUGCCUUCGGGCUCGUAUACAGGUGGUGCAUGGCUGUCGUCGGCUCGUGUCGUGAGAUGUUGGGUUAAGUCCCGCAACGAGCGCAACCCUCGUCCUAUGUUGCCAGCGGGUAAUGCCGGGGACUCAUAGGAGACUGCCGGGGUCAACUCGGAGGAAGGUGGGGACGACGUCAAGUCAUCAUGCCCCUUACGUCUAGGGCUGCACGCAUGCUACAAUGGCCGGUACAAAGGGCUGCAAUACCGCAAGGUUGAGCGAAUCCCAAAAAGCCGGUCUCAGUUCGGAUUGGGGU